rnacentral:rRNA from 1 species
UACGAAGGGGGCUAGCGUUGCUCGGAAUGACUGGGCGUAAAGGGCGCGUAGGCGGUUCGUACAGUCAGACGUGAAAUUCCCGGGCUCAACCUGGGGGCUGCGUUUGAUACGUGCGGGCUUGAGUUCGGAAGAGGGUCGUGGAAUUCCCAGUGUAGAGGUGAAAUUCGUAGAUAUUGGGAAGAACACCUGCGGUGUAGACGGCUUACUGGACCAUAACUGACGCUGAGGCACGAAAGCGUGGGUAGCAAACAGG